UACGGAGGAUCCGAGCGUUAUCCGGAUUUAUUGGGUUUAAAGGGUGCGUAGGCGGCCUAUUAAGUCAGGGGUGAAAGACGGUAGCUUAACUAUCGCAGUGCCUUUGAUACUGAUGGGCUUGAAUGUAGUUGAGGUAGGCGGAAUGUGACAAGUAGCGGUGAAAUGCAUAGAUAUGUCACAGAACACCAAUUGCGAAGGCAGCUUACUAAAGUAUGAUUGACGCUGAGGCACGAAAGCGUGGGGAUCAAACAGGA
rnacentral:rRNA from 1 species